GGUUAUCUGCCGCUCCCCCAAGCUGACAGGCCGCGCAAGCGCACAUGCGAACUCCAGCUCGGAGCCGAGGCGCAGGAGCCAGACACUGUCGCCUUCCAACUUCAAGACCAUAGGCACUCCUUACGUUCCCUUAUGUCUUCAUUGGAGCCAUGCAGUACCUCCCAGAACAUGUUGUCUUUGCUGCAUCUUGGGUGCUUUCUUAUCUGGUGGAGUCGCUCGUCCACUGUGUGUGUGGAGUGUUCCUGAAGGCCACAUCUGCCGAAGCACAAGGGACAAUGCACAGAAGCAGAGUUGUUAAAUUCACGCACAAUGUUGAAACAUUUCAGUUAAAUACACCUUUUGCAACAUA